rnacentral:rRNA from 1 species
CAAUAGCGUAUAUUAAAGCUGUUGCGGUUAAAAAGCUCGUAGUUGGAUUUCUGUCAAGGACAACUGGUCCGCCCCUCGGGUGAGCGCAUAGUUUGGUCUUGGCAUCUUGUUGGAAACUGUUGCUGCACUUGGUUGUGUGGCGCAGUGUCCAGCACUUUCACUUUGAGGAAAUUGGAGUGUUUCAAGCAGGCACAUGCCUUUGGACACAGUAGCAUGGAAUAAUUAGAUUGGGCUUUUGCUCCAACUUGUCGGUUUCUGGAGCUGAGGUGAGAAUUAAUGGGGAUUGUUGGGGGCAUCCGAAUUUAGCCGUCAGAGGUGAAAUUCUUGGAUCUGCUAAAGACGGACAACUGCGAAAGCGUUUGCCCAGGAUGUUUUCAUUGA